UUUUGGGCAACGGCUGCUCUCUUCAUUUUCUCCUUGAGCUGCGAGUAUUUCUCAUCCAGCUUGGCUUCUCUCUCUUGCAGCUUGUGUUUCUCCUCCAACCACUCGAUUUGACUCUCCUCCACCCGCCUGCCAGAAGAACAACACAUGGGCUUUGAGAGCGGCCUGGGAUUCCGCCAGCUGUCGCUUCUGAACCCGCUGGAUGUUCUCCGCCUGCUGCUCCGAGUGGUCCUUCUGGGCCUGCAAUUCCGCCACCUCCGCCUGGAGACCCUUCAAGCGCAAGGUAAGCUGGGUUUUCUCCCUCAGCAGAACCUCGACUUGUUUCCUGUCGUGCUGGGAGUCUGCGUUCUGGUACAGGGCCAUCAGGUUCUCCUUAUCUUUGUCCAGAUGAGCGAUCUGGCCACGGGCGGGGGGUCAGGAGAUUUGAGCACUAGUCUGAAGCCCCGAUCUGAAUGCAGUCACUCACUUCGGCCUCGUAGCGUAGCCUCUGCUCCUCCACGACGCGUGCGUGUUCCUCUUUUUGGUGUUCAAACUGGGCAUUGAGCACGGUGUGAGCAUAGCGGAGCUCGUUGAACUCUGACCUGUACUUCUCGGCCUCCUACACGCAAACCUUUUAUAAGGGAACUUCAAAUGUGACACUCGCGCCACGCUGUCGGGCGAUAAAACGUAUCAUUUCUCCCAUCGCGCGAUCAAAGAAAAAGUUCACGUUUAUUAUUGAUAUUGAGCAGACCUCUUCUAGUUUGGCGAAGCGCUCUCGAACCGGACCCUCCAUCUCCUGUUGCACCUGAGCCCUGAGCAACUCCAGACGCUGAGGAGUCAUCACCUGGUAAUGCGGACAAUUCCAAAACUCGCUCAGCCCAUUCCAGGGAACAAACAUUUCAGUUUAUUUGAGUGUGAAAUGCUUCGGAGGAAAAAAACAAAACAAAACAGUAUUUUUUUAGUUUACCUGAAGUCUGAGCUCGUCCAGCUCUCCAUUUUUUUCCAGAAUUUCUCUAGUGCGCUCAGCGAACUGCAGCUGGAGCCUGUCGAGUUGAGCUUGAAGAUGCCGUAAUUCCUCUUGUACCUGGAUGAACUCAUCCUGUAAACUGAGAAAAAAAAGUCAUUAAUUUUAAACUGUUGGAUACUGAUUGAAUAUAUGCAUUCUUAAGAUUAAUGUAGUACCUGGUGUGUUCGGCCUUAAGAGUCUCAUAGUUCGCUCGAUGACGUUCACACUUGGUCCUCUCGUCGACGAGCAUCUUCUGAAGCUCCAUCUCGGCCCCGGCGGACAAACCAGGCAUGGAUGAAGACGCCCCCGCGACGGGCCCCAGGCUAGCCCCAUGCGGAAAGGACUGCUGGAGGGCCGAGGAGAUCAUGUCACCUCUGGAAUGGAAGUCAAGAGAGGACAAAGGAGUCUUAAGGCAGACCGGUUUCUCCGCUACGCAACGCGACACAACAAAAUGGAUCCGUUUGGGUUGACGCCGGGAGCUAAACAUUCGUUUGUAUGCGGCUUGGCCUCUCGCGCCUUACUGUCCUCGACUUGCCUGAAGGCGGCACAAGAGGAGCAAACGGGGCUGCCCGGUGAGCUGGUUAUUCUGCUCCUGGCUGAGAUGAAGCUCGCUCUGCAUGCGCUCCAGUCGUAGCGACAUGCACUGGCGCUCCGACUGCAAGCACAUUCCAUUAACGUCGCCCGUCAUCUCCUUCCAAUCAACCUCCCUCCUCACCUCGAGCGACUUGACCACAGCCUGGGAUUCCGUCAGAUGUCUGUUCUGCGAGAGCUGAAUGUUCUCCACCUGCUGGUCCGAGUCGUCCUUCUUUGCCUGCAGCUCGUCCACCUCCGCCUGCAGACCCUUCAGCCACAUGGUGAGCUGCGUUUUCUCCUUGAGCAGAACCUCCACUUGCUUCCUCUCGAAAUGCGGAUCCACGUUCUUGUACUGGGCCACCAGAUUUUCCUUCUCUUUCUUCAGAUGAGAAAUCUAACAAACCAGUACGCUGAUAUGUUCCUCCUUCUGGUGUUCAAAUUGGGAAUUGAGCACAGUGAAGGCGUAGCGCAGCUUGUUGAACUCGGACCGGUAUUUCUCUGCCUCCUACACGCCGCACGCAGGUUUCACACUUUCUUUGAAGAUCAGUCAGCAUGUGCUGAAACUCCAUCCUCGCACCAUCCAGACCGGGUAUCCCUGUCCCUGGUACCGUUGGAAGCGUCAAAGUCACCUACAGCGCCGCCGUCUGGCUUGGAUCCGGCUCGCAUUCUAAAAGCAUCUAAAAAGAAGACAAAUGGAAGUUGGGGCUCAAAUCGAGACGCUCGAUGGCUGUUUUCAUUCCCCCGACCUUGAAUCCAGCGGAUCUGCGUCGCCGGGCCGUAGCCCUGCUCGUUCUUGGCUGCGAUGCGGAAGACCAGCGCCGGCCGGUUGGAGACGGAGCAGUCGAGAUGCGCGUUAACCAGGUGGCUGGAGCUGACCGUGCAGAACGUCUUGACGCCGCGGUAGAUUCGGAUGAACGCCAGUUGGCCCGGACCCUCCGAACUGGACGAGCGGCUUUUCUUCACCGCCAUGUACAUGGAAUAUUCCAGAAUCCGGCCUGAUGGAGACGGAGGAGCUUCCCAUUGUCGCCGACACGGUACCUUGGUGAUCUUGACCGCGGACGGCGCUCCAGGGAAGCCCGGUUGGCACGUCUUGAACUCGCUGACCGGGCUGAAGUCUCCUUCGCCAAAGCAGUUGACGCCUGCUACUCUGAAACGGUUUGGCGUCCGCUUCCGUUGAAGUCGAAUCGACCCGUUCGGUUUGAGGAUGGCUCCCCGCAGGCUGAAUCUGAAGGAUGUAGCAGUCCGCUCCCGACAGGGGGCGCCACGCCACGUGAAGCAUGCUGACGGUGGAUUUGAUGAGCAUCACCGCAUCGGCUGGAGCCGGACGAUCUAAAAUCAGAACGAGGUACCAAAGGUCCUUGCAGCACACUUGAUAGAAAUUCUUCUGGUAACCAUCUCGGCCGCUCCAAAUGUAGAGCCUGGAACCGACGGCGGCGGCACAGUGGCCAGCCCUGGCUUUGGGCCCGCCGGUGUUGUGAUCGUCGCUCUGUGUCAUGUGACUCUGCAGCUGGGAGUUGAUGUCGUCGUACUCCGGACUCAGGUUCUGCCAGCUCAUCGUGUCUGGGAGAGACGCUUUCAUGUCAUGAUCUGCACCGGGGGAACUUAAAAAAAAUUUAAAGGCACACAGAAGUACUGACCAAAGUUAAGCACGCUUAAGGAGUUGGUGCAAAUCCAUUUCAUCCCCGCGGCAUUGCGCUUCUCCGACUCGGGAACAGGAAUCCAGCCGCCAAAAACGAACAUCCUGCGAGGGUCACACAUCAAUCAUGCCUUUCAAUUAAAAAUGCCGAACAAAGUGCUCGGCUGCGGCGGACCCGAAAGGAGAAGGGGAGAAUAAACAAAAGCGUCCUCGCGAUCAAGCUCUUACCUGUUUCCAAUCACAUUGGCAGAGUGAAGACUCCUGGGGAGUGGCACCGAGCCCCUCGUUUCAAGCAAUGACCACGCCAUCGUGUCUGAGGAAGAGAAGACGCGGCGCGCUUUGGGUCACGCGUGACACCUGCGUACGAUGAAGAGCUUUGGAGAGCCAAGACCGGUGUAAGCGACGGACGUGUGCGACUCCCGCGCUGAAGGACCACCGCCUUUGGUCUCCGGGAUGCUCCAGCCUCUUGCCCCCGAUACAGACUGCAGCUCCAACUCGUAGAGGUCGUCCAAGUACCUGUCAUCGCAAAGAACGGCUCACCUUGGAUGUCUUGAUCAAAGCACAAGGGUUGAUUUUUUUUUUCAAGUUGAAAUAAUUUUUCAUUUCUCUUCAAUGCUGCUGCUGUUGUUUUUUUAGAACGCGUUUUGGAUGACGCCUCUUUUUUUCUCGAUAAGUGAAGAUAGGGUUAAAAAAAAAACAUCCUUGGAUCUGUCCUUCAACAUACCGUGGGAUGUUGCCGUUGGGGUCCUCGCUAACAUUGGCCAGCCCCCCAAACACAUAACACCUGCUACCCACAAGGGUGAAACUGUGCCCGAUUCGAGGGCACGGAGGCAGGCCAUUCCUGGGCGCUCUGGGCUUCAGCUUCUUCCAAAGCCAGCGACUAGCCUGGACCAUCAAAUAUACAUUGGCAAAGAGUAAACAAUCAGCGCAAACAACAUUGUGACAAGGUGGAUGAGAGGCGGCUUGUUGCCAGGAGGUCAAGUGGUUGGCUUGCGAGGACAACAUGGACCGGUGUGUGGACCGAACGUUAGUCAACAGUAAUCAGUGACCCGGAUGUACAAUUUUCACAACAAGAAUAUCGAUACAUCUUAAGUAUUUGAAGUUUUUAAUUACUCCUAAAACACAAGCGACUAUCAUUUUCCCAUGGUCACCCAGCAGAAUGGCAUUAAAAAAGCGACAACCAUAAUUUGCUUGUGACACCAAAUACCAUUUAUUAUUAUUAUUAUUUUUAGAGCUUUUACAAAGACUACAAAAUCCUCCAGAUGAGUUAAAUCACUGUCUCUGUCUAUUUACAUGAUAUGUUACAUACAAAUGUACAAAAUAUAAAACAUUCAAAGACAAAUGUUUCACCCGAAAAGAAGAAAAGAAUGUUUGCAUCUCAAAACGAGAGUAAAUGCUAUGGGCUUGGACUGACACAUCUCCGAAUCGGAUGGCGUACGCUGGGGUCAGCGAGUAUGGAAACGGGAAGGCCGGGCUGCGGAGGCGCAAAAAGCUGACAACAGCUAGGAUUGCAGACUAGACGGUGGCAUUGUCCUGAGGUUGUGUUAAUUUCGGGUGGGCAUUGGCUGACCGGUAGCACCUGCGGGGUGUUUUCUGUACAGUACGGUGUGGAGUGAGCUGCGGCGCCUCGGCAGCCUGGCCAAAUUCGAAUGACAACUCAAAAGAUUUCACGGCAACAAUGGGAGCCGCCGACUGGAAAAGUGCAGCUUUUGUGAUUUGUAGUUCGUGUAACAUCAACCGGGCGAAUGCAUCUUUGAUUUCCUGUGCAAGGUGACUGAAGUAUUUACAACCCGCCCGAGUGUGCAAAAACCAACCCACGCAUUUAAAAGGACAAUCAAAAAUGGCUUCCGUCCAAUACUUGUGUGUACAUAAAGGUAAAUAUCUCUUUCUCAAUGACCCCCCCAACCCCCUGUUAAAAAGCAUGCUUAAAAAAAGAAGGGGAACAAACAAACAUUUGGUUGUGCUCCUGUCAGUUCAAGUGAGCCCAGCUCAACUGGGUGCAGAAGAAAAAAAACAAAAAAACAACAACAACUUUAAAUCUUAUAUACUUAUAUAUAGAUAAUGGUCAGUUUAGAAUUCACAUACAACAUGAACUCUUUGAUUUUGCACUUUAAACCUGUUCAAAAGGAAAACAGGAAGCAUCCGUAUGAAUCUCUUGUCAUUAUAAAGUCAUUGGAAGCAGGAGGAGGACCCCCCCCCCUCCAAAAAAAAAUCAGUUUGCACACUUAAGGCAACGGGAAAGCACCAAUAUCAUUGUUCCCUAGUGAAGGUGUUUUAUCUGACUGCAUCGUAUUUCGUCGACUGAUCCGCACCGGUCACAAAGUGAGGAAAUCGAGCCGCGUGCGUCACUUGGCACGUAUUUUCGUCACAGUGGGGUCAUGUGGCGAAUCGGUCGUUGACAUGCGAGGGCAGCGAGGUGACGGGCCGAUAAAUACUCGCGUUAAGAGCCCCGCCUGCCACAGAAGGGCAUCGGAAACAUCUUAACUCAUUCAGUACCAGCCUUUUCCGGACCAAGUCUUAAAAGACGUUUAAAAACGUCUUUGGGAGUGAAUGAGUUAAAAAGCGGGAGGAAUUUGGACGAAAUUGACUUCAGGAACCACAGAGGUGGAAGAGCGAGCGACCUUUUGGAAGGUUAUUUGGACCAAUGCCUGUGAGAAAAGCACCUUUGUAAACAAAGAAAUACAUCGACAAGAGUACCUGGCCACCUCCUUACUCGGGUUGUAAACAGAGAAAAAUCUUCCAGUUCCAAAGAUGAAGUACAAGACUGACGCUGAGCCGAGCAUUUGAAUUCCGACCAAACACUUUGUGCAAUCAGACGAGAAG